CAAGAGUACGUGAAACCGUUCAGGGGUAAACCUGAGAAACCCAAAAGAUCGAAUGGGGAGAUUCAUCGUCAGCUCAUUUUGUAUAUAUGUGAGUUAUGAUGUGGGUUACUACUUGUAGUAUUGCCUGCACGUUCUCAUAUAUUUUGCUGCAAGAUGUUGUCGGCGUGCACUUCUCCCCUAGUAGGACGUCGCGACCCGUUAAGUGUUGGUCUACGACUCAAGUGGUAGACUUUGAUAUURCUUUAACGAGUCAUAUUAAAGACCCUUGGUGUUAUCUGACUGGCAUUUGGCGGUAUUCGCAUGGUAUUAAGCCGCAAAUUCUAUAUUUGCGUCCAUGACCGUCGCAAGCAAGGUUAGUUUCUUUAGUAAUGCGGACCCAGUGCCGUCGCUAUAACUGACCAGCUGUUGGUUGUACGGUUUUCUAGGACUGGCUUUUUAAAUAUAUACCGGUCAGCGAUGCUACUGCUUUGGGUACUUUCAGGACCCGUCUUGAAACACGGACCAAGURCUUUAACGAGUCAU
rnacentral:rRNA from 1 species